rnacentral:lncRNA from 1 species
CUUAUCGGCUUACCCAGACCUUCCCCCAUUAAAUGCUUUCCCUCCCUCCCAUGGCCCUUCCGUUUUCCCGAGCCCAGCUCUGUGGCGUUGAUCUGCUCAAAGUUUUGGUACUUGUGGUGGGUGUGCCUGAGUCUCUUUGUUCUGACUUUACUGAGACAUUGAUCGCCGUAAAGGUCCCAUCUCUUGCAGCAUCUUCUGAAUUUCUCUUCUCGUUUAAAAACUUCCUCCAAUAUCCACUUGGAAAAAGAUAAAAUUAGAUCCAUUCCUCACAUCACAUACAAGAAGGAACUCCAAAUAGACUGGAGAUCUUGACAUAAAGAAGAAAACUGUACAAAAACCAGAAGAAACCCGAGGGAACUUCCCUGAAACCCGGGUGUAGGGAGAAGUACUGACUCCCACGCCAGCACAAUUAAAGAAAUACUGAUACAUUUGGCUUCAUAAAAAUAAACUUGUACUGUGGCAACAAACCACAAGUGAAGUCUAAAGAUAAAAGACAGUCUGGGAUAUAUACUUUCAAAUGGUUAAGGUGGUACAGUUUAUGUUAUGUGCUUUUUACCACAAUUUAACAAAAAAGGACAGAAUGGGGGAAAAUGAUCUGCAACAUACAUCACGAGCAUGGGGCCUCUGCUGUGUCCCCUCCGCAGCACUCCCUCUGGAGAACCCAGCCAGACCCGACAGGGAGGAGACGGCAGCCAGUCAGGGAGCACUCUUCAGACACGGGGAGCGGGAGGAACGUGAUCAUCACAAACGUCCAUGUCAAAGACAAAGCGGGGCUGAGGAAAUGUUCCAGAUUGAAGGAAAUGAAAGAGACAAUUGAAUGUGUGGCAGGACAUUGCUGAGGCAAGAGCUACAGCUGGAAUGCAGUUGGUUGACUUAAAUAUAAACAUUUAAUGCUCCCUUGAGGGACCCUGCUGCCACGUUGAGAGAAGCUCAGGCCACAUGGAAGCCACACGCAGGCGUUCCAGUGCCAGCCCAGCUAACAGCCCACAGCAACUGCCGUCACGGGAGUGAGCCCCCACGGAGUCCAGCCGGGCGAGUCUUCAGAUGCCUCCAGCCCCAAAUGCCCCCGACCACAAAUGCCUCAGCCCUCAGGUGCGCCCUGCACGGCCAAGCCCAGCCAAUCACAGAACUGAGGAAGACAGCAAGGCAUUCGUUGUUGAAGCUGAGGGGGUGGGGGGGGUUAGGGUGUUUGUUAUGCAGCUGUGCAGCAUGGCUGCAGCCCUGACGGAAGAAAAGGCUGGCUCCUGGGAGGUCACCGGAGAGCCCUCGGUGUGUCCUACCUCAUAGGAGCGUCUCUUUAUCUGGGGCCCUGGGCCACAGUGGACAGUCUAUGCUAAGGAUGUGAUUUAGGGUGGGGGCCGUGGGUCUCUCUGGAGGCUACGGUCAGCCACGCGGGGUGAGCAGUCCCCAUGACCAACCCCUGAAGAAAACCUUGGAUGCAGAGGCCCGGGUGAGCUUCCCUAGGUGGCCACACUCCAGCACGCUGUCGCAUCCAUGCGGGGAAAAUAAGCGCUGUCCACACAGCUCCACGGGAGAGGGCAGUGGGACGCUUGCGCCUGCCUCUUCCCUCCUCUCAUUCUCAUCCCCAUAUUCUUGCUAUAAUAGGCCCUCACUGUGAGGAUAAUGACCAUACCGGGUCCUGGGAGACCUCCUGAACUGCAGCGGCAGGGAACCCCGACACCCAGUGAGUCUGAGAGCCUCACAGCUGCCCGCCUGGCUGACUCCCAUCAGGUCUGAAGCACCCUCCCGACAGUCAUGGUGGCUGUUUUUGUCUUUCCCAGGAGAAAUGAAUGGCACUGGCAACCUGGGCCUCGUGCCUGUUUUCCUGAAGCCAUGUGUACUUGGCUUCUGGACCGUGGCGCACCUGACCCCAGAAGGCGGUGCACUUACUGUAAGGCUGAUGGGCCUUAGAGAACACCUCCCCAGCGCCUACGCGCAAUCAGGACCGCGGACGCCUCAUGUCUGCCUGGGAGGUCUCCAAAGGGCCAAACACUCCCGGACUCGGCCCUGCAGGAGUCAUUUGCUGUAGACCAUCCCCCAGUGCCACAUACCACUGGAGAAAGCUGAGUCCAGAGGAGCUCAAACUUGAAAACACAAUCUCUCUGGAGGGUCAAGGCCUGGCAGGGCAGCCUGAAUGGAAUCCAACGUUACCUGUGACUAAGAGCCAACUGGGAGUGAGACAAGGGUCCUCUGGUCUCCCUGGAUGACGGGAGAUGCGCGCCUCAUCGUGUGAUGUCAAGAACCACUGCUGGGCCUACCCUGAGCAGGGAGCAGGGAGCGGCACUGUCAUGCUUGUUGCUGGAGCCAGCAAAGGAUGAGGCUAUGCCUCAGCUUCCGCUCCGCUCCACUCAGUGCUGGCCUCAUCGCCCCACCCAGGGGGCAGAACUCUCCCCAGGAGCCCACGGUGCUGGGCAGAGGCAGAGGCCACUUGGGCGGUCAGCCCAGAGCUGGGUGGGCCCGGCCAGCGGGACUUUGCGGCCUCCCCACCCUCCGGAUCUCCUGAGCAGGCGUAACCCAACCCGGGCAGCUCCUUCGGCUCCACCAUCCAGAGACAAGCUGACUUCCGAUAAUGACUUUAUUUUAACAUAUUUAAUUACAGCUGCUCCACCUCCUUCCUCUCUGUCCAGGGAGCAGACCCUCUGGCCAGCCCCUGACUCUGCCCCUACCCCCUCUGCAAACCUAAAGGGGAAUAAAUACAAACUUUACAAAGU